UUUCAGACUUAGCAUACUGCAUCCACUUAGUGUAGUGAGAAGAUAAGAUUUGGUCUAUUUUUCUUUCUUGGACUGCCACUGCUGAUAUCUGUACUAAUACAUUCAAUUGAAUUCUGCAGAUAUGGUUCCUCCAAAACCCCACUUCCAGAAAAUCUUUUUUGCCUUCAAGAGAAGACUGAAGUAAAUAUCCGCCCCUCGUAGGACAUUAGGAUUUAUAUUUGGAACACAUCUGAAGGCCUAGAAGAUUGGUUUCAUCUACAAGAAGUGAUGAAAAGGCGGCAGACAGCCUAGCACCAUUUACUAUUGUCUCCCAAGGACGAACAAUUCCUGCCACAGCUCUUAAUAAGACGAGGGAAAAAAUUAGUAAUCAUUUCAUCAUCCAAAUGAUUGACAAUGAUGACAAACGAUUCAAGGUUAUUGCCUUCUCAGAGAUACUGAUCUGUAUUUCAAGGGGUUUCAGCAAGAGUUGAUCUUAAGUGAAGAGCAACAUGUGCUCGAGGAGAAAAGAAGAAUGGAGAGAGGUGCAGAAACCAAGCUUGUUGAAAGUAAAGAAGAAAAGGAAAGAGAAGGUAAGCUCAUUGAAGAGAAAGAAGAAGAUGGAAGAGCAAUCAGGGGAGGGCAACUUUUACGGUUUCGUGAUAUGAUGGUGCCAGAAUUUUUAAAUGCUAUGAGGGUGAAUAUUGAAGCUGGUUAUAGGAAAAGGUUAGUAUUGAUCUUGUUGAUUUUUUGUCCCAUGUUUAAAAUCUCUGAUCUUGGAAACAAUUUCAGUUCUACCCAAGUUAAAGUAACCGUUAAGUGGACCCAUAAA